GUCGAGCGCCCCGCAAGGGGAGCGGCAGACGGGUGAGUAACGCGUGGGAACGUACCUUUUGCUACGGAAUAACUCAGGGAAACUUGUGCUAAUACCGUAUGUGCCCUUCGGGGGAAAGAUUUAUCGGCAAAGGAUCGGCCCGCGUUGGAUUAGCUAGUUGGUGAGGUAAAGGCUCACCAAGGCGACGAUCCAUAGCUGGUCUGAGAGGAUGAUCAGCCACACUGGGACUGAGACACGGCCCAGACUCCUACGGGAGGCAGCAGUGGGGAAUAUUGGACAAUGGGCGCAAGCCUGAUCCAGCCAUGCCGCGUGAGUGAUGAAGGCCCUAGGGUUGUAAAGCUCUUUCACCGGUGAAGAUAAUGACGGUAACCGGAGAAGAAGCCCCGGCUAACUUCGUGCCAGCAGCCGCGGUAAUACGAAGGGGGCUAGCGUUGUUCGGAUUUACUGGGCGUAAAGCGCACGUAGGCGGACUUUUAAGUCAGGGGUGAAAUCCCGGGGCUCAACCCCGGAACUGCCUUUGAUACUGGAAGUCUUGAGUAUGGUAGAGGUGAGUGGAAUUCCGAGUGUAGAGGUGAAAUUCGUAGAUAUUCGGA
rnacentral:rRNA from 1 species